rnacentral:rRNA from 1 species
AGCGAACGCUGGCGGCAGGCUUAACACAUGCAAGUCGAGCGGGCCCUUCGGGGUCAGCGGCGGACGGGUGAGUAACGCGUGGGAACGUGCCUUCUGGUUCGGAAUAACUCAGGGAAACUUGAGCUAAUACCGGAUACGCCCUUUUGGGGAAAGGUUUACUGCCGGAAGAUCGGCCCGCGUCUGAUUAGCUAGUUGGUGGGGUAACGGCCUACCAAGGCGACGAUCAGUAGCUGGUCUGAGAGGAUGAUCAGCCACACUGGGACUGAGACACGGCCCAGACUCCUACGGGAGGCAGCAGUGGGGAAUGUUGGACAAUGGGCGCAAGCCUGAUCCAGCCAUGCCGCGUGAGUGAUGAAGGCCUUAGGGUUGUAAAGCUCUUUUAUCCGGGACGAUAAUGACGGUGCCGGAGGAAUAAGCCCCGGCUAACUUCGUGCCAGCCGCCGCCGUAAUAC